rnacentral:rRNA from 1 species
UACGUAGGGAGCAAGCGUUGUCCGGAUUUACUGGGUGUAAAGGGCGUGUAGGCGGGAUUGCAAGUCAGAUGUGAAAUUCCGGGGCUCAACCCCGGAACUGCAUUUGAAACUGUAGUUCUUGAGUACUGGAGAGGCAGGCGGAAUUCCUAGUGUAGCGGUGAAAUGCGUAGAUAUUAGAAGGAACACCAGUGGCGAAGGCGGUUUGCUGGGCCAUUACUGACGCUCAUGCACGAAAGCGUGGGGAGCAAAUAGG